ACCUACACCGGGCGGUCAUACAUCGAUUGGCUUCCUAGAUAAUAGAUCGUGCCACCCGGUAGGGACCUCUGGGGACGCGCCGGGAGCUGGAAGAGUCGCACGCAGCAGCCCAACCCUGAGUUAAUCAAACUAGCAACAGGAUCUCAAGCAGCAGCGACGGCGGUGGCAAGAGUAGCGGUGACGGCGGCGGCGGCGGCGGCGGCAGCAUUAUGCGUGAUUACUGACAGGCACCAGCUGCUGCCGCCACAGCCGUCUCAAACGCACUAUGUGGACUCUCCGAUCUAGAGGCAGAUUCCUGACUAAUCCCAGAGGGCUGGCCCAGCCUGUGCUCCCCGGGCUGCUAGGAAGCGAUGACCACUCUUGUUAGCCCAAGUUGAAGAAAGCCGGGCUGUGCCUGGGAGCCGAGAGAGGCGGUAAUAUUUAGAAGCUGCACAGGAGAGGAACAUGAACUGACGAGUAAACAUGUAUGGAAAUUAUUCUCACUUCAUGAAGUUUCCCGCAGGCUAUGGAGGGUGUUCUUCCCCUGCUCUCCAACUUCUGCUCUCCACAUCGCUAGGGCUGUGAAAACAGAUACUGUGAGCCCUGAACCCUCCAGGAGGCUGCUUCCCCAUGACACUAGUGACCAGUAAAAUGAAAAGGAGGAGCAAAGGAGAUUUUGAGUCACAGAAAUGAAACCCAGGCAACCAGCCUAGAAGAAACACUCCAAGAUAUUCAUUAAGUGCUUUGUUUCCCGUUCCUCUGACAUCUUGUAAAUGCUUUUUGAAUUAAAGAUGAUAACAGGCUUU
rnacentral:lncRNA from 1 species